AUAACAACAUCCGGUUUUCAUUCGCAACAAGCAGACGACACAAUGGCGUCGCAGACGACCCGGUUCGCCUCGUUCCCACCAGUAAUGACCUGCUGAUGCCACCAUCGCUACAGCCAUAAUUUCAGAAAUAGAACAACCGGCAAGUCUUUCCACAAGAUGACGUGGAACUGCCUGCAGACAGCCUGGCGGACUGGACGAAGAUGAGUUCAGCUAGAAAACGGUGUCUUGAAACCAGUUCACAAUCAUUUAUGAGCACGGCGAACACCGCCGUUACGGCUGCUAUAAAUGUCUCCGUGGAGGAUCUCAUCGGCGACCUGUAUCCUCUUUGACGAUAUCUAUAAUGAUUGCGGGUGACUACUCUAAUAUCGCCGUAGCUCUGCAUAUAUUUUGCCAUUUGCGACGAAAGAAGACCCUGGUGUCACCAGAGAGAAUACAGUGCGAAAUUUAAAAAAAAUUGUUAGUGUUGCUGUUGUUAGUAGCGCUGCAGCACGUUGUACGCUGCAUGCUGUAAUCUUGUCGGACUGAGAUAACAUCUUCUGUCACCUUGCCGAGUACAGAUUCCACCUGGCUGACGACCGAUGUCGGUUAUCUCUUCGUGGUGUUUAAAAAAAAGCUGAUAAGAAUUUUUUUAAAAAAAAUAAAUUUGCAAUAUAACAAAACAAA